rnacentral:lncRNA from 1 species
AGUUCAUAAGUGGGUUGGUCGCGCCCACUAACUCCGGCUCCAUGGGAACCGGGACUUUUGGACGAAGAACUCGGUUGAACCGCGAGGAGGAGGAAGAUUUGUGACAGCGCACAAGGAAGGACACGCCUGCUCGUUACAUCGACAGUUUGUGUGGGUAGACCGUGCGUGUUGUUCUGACGGAGAAUUUAUAAUACUCACCUCUACUCAAUGAACCUACCUUUCGCUUGUUAUUUUGUCCCCGACGGUUGUGGUUUUCUGCGUCAUAGCAACAGAGAUGUAAAUCAAGUUAGCCUCCACCUCUUCAUUUGAUAUGCAGCUACUGACAUAACCAGGAGCGCUGAAGUGACAGAGUGCAGCGGAAGAUGGACAUCCGGAGUGGCAUACAAAAGGCAGUGGAGCCCCUCCCUGCCUCUCUCCCCUCUUCCCCUCAACAGUCGGGUGCCCAUCAGCAGAGCGAGCCGGAGGACAGCCAGGCAGAACGGAGUGCCAGGCCCACCGCUGACAACCACAGCAACGACACCCAGCCAGCCGCCGGCCACCGAGACGACAAAAAAUAUUUCAGUGUGGAGUCCAUUGAUGGAGUCCAUAUGUUUCAUGAAGCCAUUAGAAGACUGUUGCUGACUGAGAUGAGGUGCUGUCAGGAGAAACACUUUCACAUCCAAGGCUACAGAUGGAGAGACGGAGAAAUUCGUCAUAAGGUGGCUGCAGUUUGCAUCAGACAGAGACGGACGCAGGAAGGAGGGGACCGAACACAGCAAGGAAAGGGCAGAUAGACCCAGAGAGAAAUAGAUACAUUGACAUACACGCAUACAUACA